CCUACGGGUGGCUGCAGUGGGGGAUAUUGCACAAUGGGGGCAACCCUGAUGCAGCGACGCCGCGUGAGUGAAGAAGGACUUCGGGAUGUAAAGCUCUUUCAGUCGGGAAGAAAAUGACAGUACUUGUCCAAUUAGCACUGGCCAACUACGUGCCAGCAGCCGCGGUAACACGGAGGGGGCAAGCGUUAUCCGGAUUUACUGGGUGUAACGGGAGCGUAGACGGUUAUGUAAGUCUGGGGUGAAAGCCCGGGGCCUAACCCGGGGACUGCUUUGGAAACUGGGUAACUGGAGUACAGGAGAGGCAGGCGGAAUUCCUGGUGUAGCGGUGAAAUGCGUAGAUAUCAGGAGGAACACCGGCGGCGAAGGCGGCCUGCUGGACUGAAACUGACGUUGAGGCUCGAAAGCGUGGGGAGCAAACAGGAUUAGAUACCCGGGUAGUC
rnacentral:rRNA from 1 species